rnacentral:rRNA from 1 species
CAGCAGCCGCGGUAAUACGAAGGGUGCAAGCGUUACUCGGAAUUACUGGGCGUAAAGCGUGCGUAGGUGGUGGUUUAAGUCCGUUGUGAAAGCCCUGGGCUCAACCUGGGAAUUGCAGUGGAUACUGGGUCACUAGAGUGUGGUAGAGGAUAGUGGAAUUUCCGGUGUAGCAGUGAAAUGCGUAGAGAUCGGAAGGAACAUCUGUGGCGAAGGCGACUAUCUGGGCCAACACUGACACUGAGGCACGAAAGCGUGGGGAGCAAACAGGAUUAGAUACCCCUGUAGUCCUUGUCUCUUAUAC